GCCCGGCUUGUUAGGUCGCAGCGAAAGUGAAGGAGCAAAAGCGUUGGAGGGAAAACCGUACUUCUCUGUCCAAGAGAGAGGCCAGGGUCACUCGCUUACCAAGAGAAGAUGCAGAAAUCCCAUUUAAUAGGCUCCACUGAGUUUGUCCCCCCCGAGAAUAGAGAAGUGGUCUCUGAUGCACACGAGGAGAGGUCCCACCAGGACAUGACACACAUGGACAGACG